rnacentral:rRNA from 1 species
AUUCCCUUAGUAGCGGCGAGCGAAACGGGAAGAGCCCAAACCAACAAGCUUGCUUGUUGGGGUUGUAGGACACUCUAUACGGAGUUACAAAGGACGACAUUAGACGAAUCAUCUGGAAAGAUGAAUCAAAGAAGGUAAUAAUCCUGUAGUCGAAAAUGUUGUCUCUCUUGAGUGGAUCCUGAGUACGACGGAGCACGUGAAAUUCCGUCGGAAUCUGGGAGGACCAUCUCCUAAGGCUAAAUACUCUCUAGUGACCGAUAGUGAACCAGUACCGUGAGGGAAAGGUGAAAAGCACCCCGGAAGGGGAGUGAAAUAGAACCUGAAACCGUGUG